GUUCUAAUAGUUUAAAAAGAACGUACCCUUGAAGGUGGUGAGGUAAAUUUUUUUUAGGACA
rnacentral:tRNA from 1 species